UACGGGGGGGCAAGCGUUGUUCGGAAUUACUGGGCGUAAAGGGCGCGUAGGCGGCCCUCUAAGUCAGACGUGAAAUCCCACGGCUCAACCGUGGAACUGCGUCUGAUACUGGAGGGCUUGAAUCCGGGAGAGGGAUGUGGAAUUCCAGGUGUAGCGGUGAAAUGCGUAGAUAUCUGGAGGAACACCGGUGGCGAAGGCGGCAUCCUGGACCGGUAUUGACGCUGAGGCGCGAAAGCUAGGGGAGCAAACGGG
rnacentral:rRNA from 1 species